ACUGCUCUUCCAGAGGUCCUGAU
rnacentral:piRNA from 1 species